GUGGGGAAUUUUGGACAAUGGGCGCAAGCCUGAUCCAGCAAUGCCGCGUGCAGGAAGAAGGCCUUCGGGUUGUAAACUGCUUUUGUACGGAACGAAACGGUCCUGGCUAAUAUCCGGGGCUAAUGACGGUACCGUAAGAAUAAGCACCGGCUAACUACGUGCCAGCAGCCGCGGUAAUACGUAGGGUGCGAGUGUUAAUCGGAAUUACUGGGCGUAAAGCGUGCGCAGGCGGUGCUGUAAGACAGGCGUGAAAUCCCCGGGCUCAACCUGGGAAUUGCGCUUGUGACUGCAGUGGUGGAGUGCGGCAGAGGGGGAUGGAAUUCCGCGUGUAGCAGUGAAAUGCGUAGAUAUGCGGAGGAACACCGAUGGCGAAGGCAAUCCCCUGGGCCUGCACUGACGCUCAUGCACGAAAGCGUGGGGAGCAAACAGGAUUAGAUACCCGAGUAGUCC
rnacentral:rRNA from 1 species